UCUUCACUAGGUAGCGCUAAAUCAUUUC
rnacentral:sRNA from 1 species